AAAUUAGAAAAUAAUAAUUUGAAAGAAAAAUAAAUUGUUAAUUUUUUAUCAAAAUCAAGAAGAAUUAUUUCAAUAAAUUGUUUUUUUAGCUUGUUUUGGCUAAGUAGUUAAAAACUGCUUAUUUUUAGAAAUUUAAUCAGACUAUGUAGCUCCGCUACUAUUUUCAUUAUUGUGAAAUAUAACGGAGCUUCAUUGAAGAAUUAUACUGUAUAAAUAAUAAUUAUUGAAUCUACUUGACACAAGAUUAA
rnacentral:misc_RNA from 1 species